rnacentral:lncRNA from 1 species
GAUGUAAUAUUAUUUAUUUUUUUUUUUUCUUUUAGAUAUGUAUUUUAUACUUCUAUAACACACAUAAUAUUUACGUUCAUCAAAAUGGAAUUCUUAUUGUUGGAAGAAAAAUAUAAAAACAUUGUGGAUAAGUCAAACUAUGAAAAUAUGAUUCUUAAGAGAGAAACAGAAUGCCUACAAAAAAAAAUCAAGAAUUUAGAAGAUGUUUAUAUCGAAAAAGAAAAUAAAAUUAUGGAAAUAUUAGAAGAGAAAGAAGAUCUUAAAGAUCAUAUAUUCGAAAUAGAAAACGAAAAUUCCAAACUAAGGGAUAAUAUUGCCAAGCUUAAUGAAAGAAUAUUAGAUUUAACAGAUGUGUGUAAAACAUACAGACAUAUGAUUAAAACUAGAAACAAAGAAUUACAACAAAGUGAUAUCUUAAUUAUAGAGAAUAAGAACUUAAGAAAUAUUAUUGAAGAUAUGAAGAACCAUAAAUUAUUAUUAGAAUCGAAGAUCACAAAAAAAAAUAAAAUAAUUGAUGUGAUUAAGGAAAAAUACCAAAAAAAUAUAUCAAGAAUAUUAGAAAAGUUUAAUGAAAAGGAUAAAUGCAUUAACGAGUUUCGAAGUUAUGUUAUUCACGGUAUGAGAACAUAAAAGAAAAAAAAAAAAAAAAUUCAUACAAAUUAUUGUAUUAAUAUUAGGAAUUCAUUUUUUUUAACUGCUUUCUUAUAAUU